GGACUAUAGCUCAGUGGUAGAGCACUUGCCUAGCAUGUGUGAGGCACUGGGUUCAAUCCUCAGCACCA
rnacentral:tRNA from 1 species